CAAGGCUUAAACUUUAAGUUAAGAAACGAUGAGAUAUUAAGAAAGGUGAGCCAGCUUCCUAUUGCAGAAGGGAAAAGAAUCUUAGCUCGCUCCACAGCUCGCUCCCCUCACGCUUGGACUCUUCCGAGCUCAAGCGUCCGCUCGCGUGCCACGCAUGCGCCAAGCGCGAGUUUAGGACCUCGUGCUCGCCGGCGCCCUCCCAUUCCUGCAGUCAGCCCGCGGCGCUAGGGGGCGUGCCGCUAAGUCCUAUUCAUCGAGGGAGGAGCCGGGCACUGCCCACCAGGAGGCCCCACAGCCAGAGGGAGACGGAGUCAUGCCAAGAAGCUCCUUUACCACGGUACAGAAGUGAUGUCUUGGCCUUGCCUGCUGUUACAGAGUGGAGGAUAUUUGUAUGUACCUACUGACUCGAUGGACGAAGACUGUGACGUGCCUUGUAGAGAAAAUACAUAUAUUAGUCAAUGAAGUGGAGAAGAAAUAAUGGUAUUCCAGUUCCAAGUCCAGGCCUAAAUAAGCUUCUGCUUGCUGUUUGUACUUGUAUCAUCACCUGGAGCGGAAUGAGCUUGGGCCAGCCUGCUGGUUCCAGGAAGAGAGUAAUAAACACUUGGAACACAGCAGAAGCACCUCAGCUGAGCCCAGCCCCCAUUGGCCAACACACUGCUAACCCCCAAGACAUGUAAGCUAAAUAAAUGUUUGCUUGUAAUAUGACAUUGGGAAUUUGUGGUGGUGGUGGCCCCAGGGUUUAUACAGCAACACCUAAUUGCUAGAUCUGCCACAAAUUUUCAUACUCAAAUUCAGAGGAGUAACCAGGUAUCAGUUGAUACAGCUGCCCCAAAUUCAAAUAGCCAAAUAAAAACAUGUAGUUGUUACCUCCAAAAAUGUUAUUUCCAACUUGACUAUACUCAUAGUCUCAUUUUUCCAGCAACUAUUACAAAUUCAGCAGCUUCUAUUCAAACACAUCAGGAAGUUUUUGACAAAUUGAUGUUUGAUGUCUUAAUAAAAGCAUUUGAGACCCUAAAACUGCUCUUAUUUUGUCAAGUUCUUGUAUUCUGAGGGAUCUGGCAACUUCUCCAACCUUGAACUGAAAUAAGCAACCUUUUUUUUUUAAUUAUUUUUUUAGUUGC